GAUGAACGCUGGCGGCGUGCUUAACACAUGCAAGUCGAACGGGAAACCUUUUAAUGAAGCUUCGGCAGAUUUAGCUGGUUUCUAGUGGCGGACGGGUGAGUAACGCGUGGGUAACCUGCCUUAUACAGGGGGAUAACAGUCAGAAAUGACUGCUAAUACCGCAUAAGCGCACAGGACCGCAUGGUCCGGUGUGAAAAACUCCGGUGGUAUAAGAUGGACCCGCGUUGGAUUAGCUUGUUGGUGGGGUAACGGCUCACCAAGGCGACGAUCCAUAGCCGGCCUGAGAGGGUGAACGGCCACAUUGGGACUGAGACACGGCCCAGACUCCUACGGGAGGCAGCAGUGGGGAAUAUUGCACAAUGGGGGAAACCCUGAUGCAGCGACGCCGCGUGAAGGAAGAAGUAUCUCGGUAUGUAAACUUCUAUCAGCAGGGAAGAUAGUGACGGUACCGGACUAAGAAGCCCCGGCUAACUACGU
rnacentral:rRNA from 1 species